UAAGGAAUAUUGGACAAUGGGCGGAAGCCUGAUCCAGCCAUCCCGCGUGGAGGAAUAAGGCCCUAUGGGUUGUAAACUCCUUUAGCAGGGGAAUAAAACGGUCAUUCAUGAUCAAUUGAAGGUACCCUGAGAAUAAGCACCGGCUAACUCCGUGCCAGCAGCCGCGGUAAUACGGAGGGUGCAAGCGUUAUCCGGAUUUACUGGGUUUAAAGGGUGCGUAGGCGGACUUUUAAGUCAAAUGUGAAAGCUUGCAGCUUAACUGUAAGAUUGCGUUUGAUACUGGGAGUCUUGAAUAUGGUAGAAGUUGGCGGAAUAAAUCAUGUAGCGGUGAAAUGCUUAGAUAUGAUUUAGAACACCGAUUGCGAAGGCAGCUAGCUAUGUCAUAAUUGACGCUGAGGCA
rnacentral:rRNA from 1 species